GCACUGAGACUUAGCUUGAAUAUAAUUUAUGAUACAUGGUUGUGUUGUGGUUAGAUUGGACUAAAAAUAAAAUAGCUUGUUUUUAGUUGAUGACAUCUAUUAAGUUGAGUUUAUAACUUAUAUAUAUAUAUUUUUGAUAGGUUCAAGAUCAAACAAAUUAUCCAAGUCCACACAUUGAUGAAGAUGGAAGAGAUGAAGACUAGCAGAUAAUUAUAUUCCGACGAAUUAGCUUUAGUUACUUUCCGUUAUGUAUUUUAGAUAUAAUGUAGUGUCGUAGUGGUGCACUUGAUACUUUGUAAGAACGACAAAUUUUUAUGUUAAUGUUACAAAUUUGGUGUUGAUCAAAAUUUGAUUUUUUUCA
rnacentral:lncRNA from 1 species